AUCUUUGUGCAGUGUCAGUAUUGUAACCAAUGAGGUUAAUCCAAGGCAUGAUUAUUGCUUGUAAAUCCCAGAGUUUACUCAG
rnacentral:snRNA from 1 species